GUACUACUUGCUUAAACAGUACAUUUACUAAAAUUGGAACGAUACAGACAAGAUAAGCAAGGCCCCUGCGCAAGCAUGACACGCAAAAUUGUGAAGCGUAACACAUUUUU